GCGGACGUGGCGGAAUUGGCAGACGCGCUAGAUUCAGGUUCUAGUGCCCGCAAGGGCGUGGAGGUUCAAGUCCUCUCGUCCGCA
rnacentral:tRNA from 1 species